GCAGCAGGCGCCGCGGGGACUCGAACCCCGUCCGUCGGGAGUGCCGCCACCGGCGCCUUUUGCUUUUUUUUUUGGCCGUUUUGUCCUUUUUUUCCCUUUUUUUUUUGGGGGGCGGGGAGAUGGAUUUUGGGGCAAUUUAAGGCGAUUUUGGGCGAUUUCGUGGGUUUUGGUUCGAUUUUGGGGGGGGCGUUUGAGCUCCAAUGUCGUUUUGGGGUGAAUCUGUGAGGUUUUGGGGUUUUUUUUUGGGUGGAAAAUCGCCGAUUUCGGUACCUACGGCCGCACGGGAAGAGGCGCGCGCCCCGCCCCCGCCCCGCGUGUUUUGGGGGGGGGGGGGGGUUUCCGGUGGCGCGGCGUCCCCGGCGCAAAACGGGCUCGGAAGGCGGGAUUUUGGGGUUCGCGCUCGUGUCCGCAGCGCAAAACG
rnacentral:lncRNA from 1 species